CUGCUCGCUCAGUGCAGGAUCCAGGCCCAGCCAAGCCCUGGCCAGAGGAUGGCCCAUCCAUGCGGUGAGAUCAAAACAUACGGGCAACAAAUUACUCCAACUCAGCUAAGCAGGUGAUGGUCAGGGACUCUCAUGAGGCUGCACCCUCUCUGUCCACCAGGGUAGUGCCAUCUCAGUUCUCAGUGGGGUGGGAGCCUGGGACUCCAGGCUCAGUCCUGUCUGUCUGACAGACUCACAAGCUGCAGGACUGAGGACUCAGUUCUUUCUUGUGCCGUGGGAGCCUCUCCAUGGGAAGAAACCCAACGUGCAUGAUGGAAGGGAGAACCCAGGACUCUCUGUGAGUGUUCAAUUUGAGUAGAGUUGCCAGAUACAACACAAGAACCCCAGCAACACUUGAAUUUCA